UCCCCUUGCCAGGGAGCUCUCACGUGAGGCAGAGACACUCGGCGGCUGCCUGCUCCGUCUGCAGGAGCCAUCUUGUUAUGUCUGUAGUAAAAAGGUACAUGUGUCUGGUCUCACUCUGGCUUCCUGCAGUACUCGGGCUGCAGCGCGCUCACAAAGACAGUGACACCCGCAGCUGCGGCUGUGCAAGCAGCGCUGUCUGGCGUUAGCAGUGACCCCAGGCUGCAGGAAGUAGCUGUUUUUGCCAGGACACAGCGUGUCAGUAAAUGGUGCAAACUGCAACACACACAGACAAGAAGCUGCAAUGCACAAACCAGCAGAAACCAAACAGAAGGCACAGAGAAUAAAGACACAAUCGCUAGAGCUAAAGUUGCUGAUACCCAGGUGUAUGUGCUAAGCUUAGACCUGCUGUGGGGCAGUAUCUCCAGUCUGCUUUAGUAGCAAGGCUGCUCUUCUAACUGCUGAAAGCACUGAGAGCUGUGUUAAGUAAAGGGACAUCAAGGCAUUGCAGAGGUUGCAGUAAAGUGGCACAAUGGUGGCGUGAACAAUGAUGCAGACAGAGGCCAGUGGCCUAGUGACUGACAAUGAAGCAGCCAGCGGCACGGUGAACGAUGAAGCAGUGACAGCAGCAGGCAGCAACACAGCGUGAAUGGUGCAGCAGCAGCUGAGGCAUUGGUCAGCCCCUCCCCCAUCCCACCAAGGUGGGAGGAGAACUCACCGGAACGCUCCUCUGAAUUCUGCAUCUUUGCUGACCAAGUACAACUACAAUCCUGAGAUACAAGAUCGUCGUGCCCCAAAAGACAUCUGGGUUCAAUCUCUCUCUGCAGACAUUGAAUGCUUCCUGCACAGCAGCCUUGCAGCAAAGUUUGAUCUGCUCCUUUCAGACAAGUCACUUCCCACCAUUGCCCCAGCUCCCUGAAUGACAAGAACCAGCCAACUGGGAAACGGGGGAGAGGAUGGUUUAAAACAGGAUUACCGAUUAUAAAUAUUGUUACAAAUCUGGAGCACCCAAGGACUUCCCUGUUGUCACUCUGCUGAACUGCAUGGCCUCUCAGGGCUGCACUAUGACUGUGUGCAUAGGACUUGGCUUCUCCUACCCCAAAAACCUGGGCCUCAAUGACUGGAGUAAAAGGAGAUUCUCCACUAGAUGUUAGCAGUAUAGAGCCUGUGAUACACAACUAAGCAUUUCUGAUUCAUCCAACAAUGCCCUGCAGUGCAUAUAUAUACUAAAUAGCUGGGUACAGUGUUAGUGCUGUUUUAUAAUGGGGAUGAUUCACCUUUACUCCCUGCAGCCCUUUAGCCCUCCCUGGGCUCAGUCGUUAAAUAGUCCCAGCCCUGGUAUGGGGCCAUAUCCCCAGCGCUUCGUCCCUGGAGAUAUGACCUUCCUACGGCCGGGCUCAGUCCCAGCAUCUAGCCAGGAGCUCCUUCUUUGCUCCCCCGGUCCCUACUAGCAAAUUGUCUUUGGCUCAGUCCUGGCAGCCAGCCAGGAGCCUCUCGCUGCCCCAGUCCCUUCCCUCACUUAGCUGUCUGUGCGCCUGCUGCUCUUCAGCCAGGCACACACUCCUUUCUUUUCCAGCUCCAAACAGCAAUUAACUGCUGAUCUGUUCUACAGCUCCUUUUAUAUGGCCCUCCUGGCCUCUGAUUGGCUGUUCUAGCAGCCCCGCUGAUUGAUUGCUUCCGCGCAACCACUCUAAGCCGCUUGGAGGCUCUCUCCACAGCUCCUUUCCUGGGAUGGGUGUGGCAAACCCUGAGGCCUCCAGCAGGGGGCCUUGGGCCUAGUCCAACCCAUCACAAGCCCCCAGAUAACAAAGUCCAAUAAUUUUGGAUCAUGUCCCUGUACUGUGGUCCUAGUGAAACACUUGAAACAUUAGCUCCCUCACUCUGCAUGGAACUUACUGUGCUUCAUGGCAAAACCCUUUCUGUCUCUAGGUGUUUAUAGAGCACCAGCACCACAGAAACCAGGCACUGUAUUAAGAGGCCUCCACUCAAGCCCUGUCCCUCCAGGGGGCCUUUCGCUACCCUCUCUCUCUUCCAUGUCAUUAAGUUAUCACAGUGCAACAGGUAAAUCAGAAAGAUCUUCACAGGCUAUUCGUGCUCUGGAGCAGAACGUUUCCUCCUCAUUCGUGGUCCAGACUAAUCCAGUCUCUCUCAUUUCAGUUAUGCCAGGACGUGCAAUAGCUCCAGUAUGGCCAUUGUUGAUGGUAAGAUGCUCUCAGGCUUCAUCCCUUCAGAUCAUCCUGGUAAAAGCCUUGUUUAAAGCUUCAGGAUGAUCGUGUGAUGAUGCAGGUGGAAACCAAGAACACCUGUGUCCCCUUCUACAUGGAGAACAUAAAUUCAAAAAGAAAUUUUUCCCUCUGGUGUUAUAUAUGUCUACAAGUUUUAAACAGAUGCCUUUGGAAAAUUUUUAGUCUCAAGGCCAAAAAUCUUAACAAGACAACUGUAAAGAAACUGAUCAGGUGAACAGGGACUCUCUGGGCUCUCACCUCUGCCAUGCAAGGUCUCUCAGAAGAAUAUCAGUUUAUCUUUCUCAGCUGAGCAAGAACUUCCUGUGUCCAACAUCAAACCAGUUUCAGUGCUGAUCUACGGUUACUAUAAAAGAGCUGUAGGGACAGAAACAAACUCUGCAUCUUUCCACCGAGGAGGCAAGAGGUCAGCAUACUUGUAUCAUGAAUGGAAAAUCACAGCCUAGGUUGGCUGUAAUACACUGGAAGGAUUUGGGGCAAACACGUCUUGUUGAGUGCCGCACAGCCUGUGGUCAGACAUCUCACCCGGAAAGCAGCUGCAAGUCUGCAGCGAUUAGAGCAACAUGACAAACAUGGAAUGUGACUGAGGAAAGAAGCCAGACAGCUUAUUUACCUCUGACUAUAGACUCUUAGUAAAUGUUACACUUACAAUCUGAUUGACUGCAUGCUGUGACUGUCCAGUGGUAACUUGGCUAGAUUCAACCCUAGUGUUUAUAUCCCCUCCAUGAACUCCCUCCAGCUCUAUAAGACCACACAUGACCCUGGUUCCACACAGACUGAGAACAGUAGUUGGUCAAAGCAUGUAACAUUCCCCAUAAUAAACUUCUCAAAUUCCA